GCUCAAGGGCUUUGCCUGUGGUGAAGAUGUCCAUGGUGUUCCCGUGAAGCUGAGGUAUGGCUGCUGGAAGGUUGCUGCUGUAUGCUGGCCUCUCUUUAGCUUUGUGUGCCCUGGGCAUGCUGGCUGUGGCGAUCUGCUCUGACCACUGGUAUGAAACUGAUGCCCGAAAGCACAGGGAGAGGUGCAAAAGCAUCACCACUAAGAGAAAUGAUCCUGGCUUUAUUUACAACUCCAACAACAACCUGCCUCUCAGGGCCAGCAGGUCGAGGUUGGACCGCUGGGAAGGGAAACUCCUCUUGGCAAGGAACAGGAGGCAGAUCUUUGCCAUGAGUGCGGUCGACGAGUGCAACAGACAGUACAACUCAACCAACAUGGGGCUCUGGAGGAAAUGCCACCGACAAGGAUUCGACCAAGAGCUGGAGGAGCUGAUUGCCAAAGGAGCAAUUGAGCGGUGCUCAUACAUCAAGUACCACUACUCCUCAGCGACCAUUCCCAAGAACCUCACCUACAACAUCACCAAGACAAUCCGCCAGGAUGAGUGGCACGCCUUGCAUCUGCGCAGGAUGACAGCUGGCUUCAUGGGCAUGGCUGUGGCCAUCAUCCUCUUCGGAUGGAUUAUCGGGGUGCUGGGGUGCUGUUGGGAUCGAGGCCUUAUGCAAUAUGUGGCGGGGCUUCUCUUCCUCAUGGGAGGAGCUGAGGAUCAGACCUCUGAUCUCUUAAACAUACGUGGGUCAGAACUCCUCUGCAGUUUUGCUUUUCUCGGUGCAGUGCCAGGAGCUGCUGCCUGUCAAGAAGAAAAUGACGGCUUCCCAGUCGCAAGCAAGUCCAUCCAGGAUGUCACCCAGAAGCAGAGGAUGAGCCCAGGAGAUGCUGGAUCACUGUCACAGAGCUCAACUUUGUUGCAUCUCCAGCAUCCCCCAGGGCCUGCGCAGGGACUAGUGUGUGUCAUGAGAUUCCAGCCAUGUCAUCCCUGCUGAGAGUUCUCCCCACUCUCACAGGAAGCAUCUGACCAUUUCUGGUUCUCAACAUGCCUGCAAGUGGUGAUGGAAUCAUGUCAAAUAGCCAGGAUCUAGAAUAGAACCUUGUGAUUGAAACAGGGUUUUCUUGAACUAUUCAAAUCUUUCUCAGGAAAUAAUGUAUGAGAACAAUCUGCUUCAGAAUAAUCCAUCACUGACUGUGAGAUUCCAGUACAAUUUGGUUGCUACAUUGCAUAUAUUUUUAUUCUCUGUUUGUUCAAUGAGUGUUGCACUUAUAAUGAUGAGAUUACUGGUAGUACCAAACAGAUUUUCAGAAUGAUGAGAAGAUAAUUAGAUGAUAUCCUGAGGGUGAUUUCUGUUUAAGACACAGCAACUAUGACAUGGAGUAUAUGAAUGUGGAGAAGGAAGAUAACAGUGCUUAUUAACCUAAGAUACAAUGAUUCCCAAAUUACCAGGAAAUAUGUUUCAUUGAGGUGAACGACAUGGUGAUUGAUGUUUGGCCCAAGCUGGCCCAUCUGUUGCGAGGCACGACUCAGCUAAGCUCAGAGGAACUUGAUGAUCUCCCGAGGUGCCAUCCAACCCCUUCAAUUCUGUGAUUCUCUGACCUGAUGUUUGCUGCAGCCACAAUGCCAGCUUCAGCAUAAACUGUGAGGUUUUGACAAGCCCAAGUGAUUGAACUGCACACCCAGAAGGCUGCUGGCUUCCAAGAGCUCUGCUUGUUCAGCUCCCAUCACCUGUGAGUGACCAGCAACAAAAGCCUGACAGCAUAGCGGUGGCAGGGAUGCUCACUACAAAAUCAGAGAUUGAAGACCCUACCUACCUUUCUAAAUCAAUCCUUAGUGACAUUCCAGGAUUACAGUAAGGAAACUGCUGCUGCUGCAUGGAUCUGUGGCUCCAAGUGGGACAAGUGGCCACAUAGCCAUGAACCCACAGACUUGGUGGAUGCCCACCCCUCCUGGGGACACAUCAGGCACAUUUUUCCCUUCCUCUCUGCUCUCUUGGCUUUGCCAGAAGACUCACCGUGACAGAGGUGGCAACCUCAAGUGAAUACACAGCUGCUGCUAUCCCACUGCUCUCGUAAAGUGCUGGCAACCCCUGUACAUCCACACACACAGAUGCACAGCUCUGGGAUGUGUCCUUUGCCAGCCAAAUGGAGCACCAAAAUCGCCCGUGUACACAUGAGGACUCUCUGGCUAUAUAACUGGUGCUUCACUCAAACAACCACAUACUUAGGAGCAAGAAGAUGUCUUCUAGGUAUCUUUGGGAAACCAACUGGAAGAACAGUGGUUAAAGGAAAGCAAGAAAUCAAAGUAAGCGAAGAUAUCAUGUAAAUGGAGUCAGCAACGCCUGUGCAUUUGGAAAGGCUAGUCACUGGUUCAAGAUGCUUGCAUUUAAUAUGAAAUACAAGACUGUUCUAAUCCAGCCUUGUCAAGUCCCAGAGUCUUACACUGCCUUCAUCUUUGCCACAGAUUCUGAAAACAGCAUAUUAAGUGGAAAGUAUCUCUGAACAACAAGAAAAGCCAAGUCAGCCUUUCAAAUGACCAGACCAUGAUGUGAUGUGAAUUAAAAAAAAAAACAAACCCACUACUCUGUUUGUAAUAGAAGAAACUAUGGAAUU